rnacentral:rRNA from 1 species
CCUACGGGGGGGCUGCAGUGGGGAAUAUUGGACAAUGGGGGCAACCCUGAUCCAGCCAUGCCGCGUGUGUGAAGAAGGCCCUCGGGUUGUAAAGCACUUUCAGUGAGGAAGAACGCCUGGUGGUUAAUACCCAUCAGGAAAGACAUCACUCACAGAAGAAGCACCGGCUAACUCCGUGCCAGCAGCCGCGGUAAUACGGAGGGUGCGAGCGUUAAUCGGAAUUACUGGGCGUAAAGCGCGCGUAGGUGGCUUGAUAAGCCGGUUGUGAAAGCCCCGGGCUCAACCUGGGAACGGCAUCCGGAACUGUCAAGCUAGAGUGCAGGAGAGGAAGGUAGAAUUCCCGGUGUAGCGGUGAAAUGCGUAGAGAUCGGGAGGAAUACCAGUGGCGAAGGCGGCCUUCUGGACUGACACUGACACUGAGGUGCAAAAGCGUGGGUAGCAAACAGGAUUAGAUACCCUGGUAGUC